CUACGGGACGCUGCAGUGAGGAAUAUUGCACAAUGGGGGGAACCCUGAUGCAGCAACGCCGCGUGGAGGAUGACGCAUUUCGGUGUGUAAACUCCUUUUAUAUGUCAAGAAAAUGACGGUAGCAUAUGAAUAAGCGCCGGCUAACUCCGUGCCAGCAGCCGCGGUAAUACGGAGGGCGCAAGCGUUACUCGGAAUCACUGGGCGUAAAGGACGCGUAGGCGGGUUGAAAAGUCAGGUGUGAAAGCCUACAGCUUAACUGUAGAACUGCACUUGAAACUCUCAAUCUAGAGUAUGGGAGGGGCAGAUGGAAUUAGUGGUGUAGGGGUAAAAUCCGUAGAUAUCACUAGGAAUACCUAAAGCGAAGGCGAUCUGCUGGAACAUUACUGACGCUAAGGCGUGAAAGCGUGGGGAGCAAACAGGAUUAGAUACCCUCGUAGUC
rnacentral:rRNA from 1 species